GAAGAAUAAGAAGAAGAAGCAGAAGCUCCAGAAAGUUCACCUUGCUUUUCUUGGUCAACUAUCCUCUGUGUCUCUCUGGGGGGUGGUUGGUUUGAAGAGUGGGGAGGGAAAGGAACAAAAUUGGGAAAUACGAAAAAAUAAAUUUUUAAAUAUAAA